rnacentral:rRNA from 1 species
ACAGCAGUCGCCGCGGUAACACGGAGGGUGCAAGCGUUAUCCGGAUUUAUUGGGUUUAAAGGGUCCGUAGGCGGAUCUGUAAGUCAGUGGUGAAAUCUCACAGCUUAACUGUGAAACUGCCAUUGAUACUGCAGGUCUUGAGUAAAUUUGAAGUGGCUGGAAUAAGUAGUGUAGCGGUGAAAUGCAUAGAUAUUACUUAGAACACCAAUUGCGAAGGCAGGUCACUAAGAUUUAACUGACGCUGAUGGACGAAAGCGUGGGGAGCGAACAGGAUUAGAGACCCCGGUAGUCCCUGUCUCUUAUAC